AGAUUGAACGCUGGCGGCGUGCCUAACACAUGCAAGUCGAGCGGUAACAGGUGUAGCAAUACAUGCUGACGAGCGGCGAACGGGUGAGUAAUGCUUCGGAAUCUACCUUAUGGUGGGGAAUAACUAGCCGAAGGGUUAGCUAAUACCGCAUACGUCCUACGGGAGAAAGCAGGGGAUCGCAAGACCUUGCGCCAAAAGAUGAGCCGAAGUCGGAUUAGCUAGUUGGUAGGGUAACGGCCUACCAAGGCGACGAUCCGUAGCUGGUCUGAGGAGGACGACCAGCCACACUGGAACUGAGACACGGUCCAGACUCCGUACGGGAGGCAGCAGGUAGGGGAAUAGUGGACGAAGUACGGGGAAACCCUGAUCCGAGCGACGCCGCGUGUGUGAAGAGGC
rnacentral:rRNA from 1 species